rnacentral:rRNA from 1 species
AGCGAACGCUGGCGGCAGGCCUAACACAUGCAAGUCGAACGAAGUCUUCGGACUUAGUGGCGGACGGGUGAGUAACACGAGGGAACGUGCCUUUAGGUUCGGAAUAACUCAGGGAAACUUGUGCUAAUACCGAAUGUGCCCUUCGGGGGAAAGAUUUAUCGCCUUUAGAGCGGCCCGCGUCUGAUUAGCUAGUUGGUGAGGUAAAGGCUCACCAAGGCGACGAUCAGUAGCUGGUCUGAGAGGAUGAUCAGCCACAUUGGGACUGAGACACGGCCCAAACUCCUACGGGAGGCAGCAGUGGGGAAUCUUGCGCAAUGGGCGAAAGCCUGACGCAGCCAUGCCGCGUGAAUGAUGAAGGUCUUAGGAUUGUAAAAUUCUGUCACCGGGGACGAUAAUGACGGUACCCGGAGAAGAAGCCCCGGCUAACUUCGUGCCAGCAGCCGCGGUAA